CGAUGUCGGCUCAUCGCAUCCUGGGGCUGGAGCAGGUCCCAAGGGUUUGGCUGUUCGCCAAUUAAAGCGGUACGUGAGCUGGGUUUAAAACGUCGUGAGACAGUUUGGUCCUUAUCUGUUGCGGGCGUAGGAUAUUUGAGGAGAGCUGUUCCUAGUACGAGAGGACCGGAAUGGACGAACCGAUGGUGUUCCUGUUGUGGCGCCAGCCGCAUCGCAGGGUAGCUAAGUUCGGAAGGGAUAACCGCUGAAAGCAUCUAAGCGGGAAGCCCACUCCAAGAUUAGAUAUCCCGUGGGGUAAUACCCACCUAAAGGCUCGUUGAAGACUACAACGUCGAUAGGCCAGGUGUGGAAGUGUAGCGAUACAUGGAGCUUACUGGUACUAAUCAGCCGUGCGGCUUAACCAU
rnacentral:rRNA from 1 species